rnacentral:lncRNA from 10 species
CUUAUCGCUGAAUAAAGGCAUUGAAAGUUAUGGUUACAAGUACAAAUAACUGUCUAGAAAGGGGGCAAACACUUCAUUACUAACCAUUCACAUCAUGGUUUAUUUAACAGGACUCAAAGGAGAUAGGAGAUUCCAGGAUAAAGAAUAUAUAUUAAUCACACUUUAGAGUACAGUGAAGACUUUCACAAGCAUUAUCUUGAUCCUUAGAGCAAUGCAGAGGGCCUUAUGAUUAUCACUCUCUUACAGGUAAGGGAAUCAGGACCCACAGAGGUUCAGUGACUUGCCCAAGAAUACACUGGUAGCUGUCGGCAGAGCUGGGACUUGAAUCCUAGGCCCCUGACCUCCAGUCCGAUGUCCUUUCCUAGGUGUGGAUGGUGGUGUGGGAGCUGUGAAGGUCCAGGGUUAUGUGUGGUGGGGAAGGGUGUCCAGAGGACCUGAGAGGACAAGCUGGGGAACUGCUUUGGGCCAACCCCACCUGCUGGGUUGAAGUCACAGUCAGGUGCCCCAAAUCUCACCUGUUGUCAAGGCCUCUUCCCACAGCUCUGGGUGAGAUGGAAAAAGAGGAAAAGAAAAUAGGUGGCAGUGAACUCCAGGCCAUCAGUCCACCCCCAAACCCAACCUUCCAUCCUGGUUCCUGGCUCCACUGGAGGGGCUUGUCCUGGAGAGCCAGCCCCACAGUCACUACGAGCUCAAGGUUUCCCUAUCAGAAGCAAGACUGCAGGGAGGAAGGCUAAAGUGUUCUCUGAAGCUGGACUCCUUUGGGAAUUCAGAGCUUUCCUGGCUCACCCCCCACGCACAGUGCACACGCACUUAGCAGUUUGUACACCAUGACCAGAGAUGCACAGAUCCAAGGCUGCCCAUCUAAGAACCUCAGCUGGAAAACCCAGGACCCAGAAUGAGUCUGGGUGACCACGCCUCACCCCUUUCCCUCAGACCUCUCUGGGAAGAACAAGAGACUGAGCAAGGCCACCCCCUGUCCUACCCCCAACUCAGAUCACGUCUCUAGUAUACAAUGUUAAAAUAAAUCACUGUUAAAAAAAUUACUGGGAGGA